rnacentral:lncRNA from 10 species
UGACCAAGUGACCUGUUAAAAGGCUGAAGGCACACUUUGAAGGCAGGUCCAAAGGGCUUCUUCGAAUGGGUCCAUGAGGAUGAUCAGCUUGAGGCCUGGAGUCUCCUUCCUCUCCACAUGCUCUAGCAGAAGCACAGCCUUCUGAGACCAAAGCAAAACGAGGCCCCAGCUGGCCCAGGCAGGCCAUUGGGCGUUGUUCACACUGACCCACUAUGAACACCAAUCACUGGGGCUCUCACUUUGCACCCACUGGAAGGAACCCAUCAUCUUUGGAGACGGAACUGGAGGCCUCGGUGGCUGCUGAGGAAAGCACUACGCCCCAAGAUUCACAUGAAUUAGGAGCUACACAAAGGAAGUAGGCCCAGGAAUAACCACACCUACCACGGAUCUCCCGAGGCAGCCGAGCAAAUGAUGAGGAACCACCCCUGGGCAUCCUGAAGGACAACCCCAAGGGCUCAAAGCAGCAUCUCAUCCACAGCACUCCCCUAACCCCACCAAUCUGUGGACCCAGUGGAUGGUUAGUGGGAACUCUGGCGAGGCCAACGCAAGGAAUGGGAGCAUCACACCAGACCAUCCAGUGAGGUGAGGACCUUGACUGGGAAUUCCUCUCAUCUAUGCUUGGCAGAGUGGCCCAAGCUCCCAAUCUGUCAGGUGACUGGAACCUUGGAGCUCUAAGGAAGCAGCAGCCCUCAGAGAAGACUCUCUUCCACAAAACUGGUCACCCAGAAGCUGUGGGUUCACUAGUUGAUUCAUUCAUUCAUUCAACAAACACUUCUGGAGCACCUCCUUCUAUUCCAGGCUGCACUGGUUCUCAGCACACAGGGUUCUCCAGUGAAGGGUAACCUGGCCCUGCCUGCAAGGAGUUUACACCUGCUUUUCCCUACUGCUUCUAACAUAUUGGCAUCAUCCCCCACCUGGGCACAGAGCCUAGCAUCCUAGCAGGAGCACACUCAAAAUCUGUUGUUUACUGAUUGACUUGUGGUAAGGAAACAGCUUAUAAAACACAUUAUUAAAAUAAAUUACGCUCAGGGAAUUCUUUAGUUUAUGCAAUAAACUCUUAUGUACCCUGUGUGCCCAACUCUGGGUUGGGGACAUAGACAUGAGACACCUGGCCCUGCCCUCAAGGAGACCAUGGACUUGUGGAGGAGGCUUCUGGAGCACAGGAAUAGUGUCACCUUGGUCAUCCACAUGCCCAGUUCUACCCACACCUCCUUGACAUAACCGCUGCACAGAAUAAAGCCAAUGCUGUUUGGCCUGUUAUCCUAGGCCUGCAGAGCCCACCUCUGGCAACCUCACUGGCCCAGCAGAAUUGGUCCUUCAACUUCAUUCAGUCCUAUUGCCAAUCUUCCCUCACACAGGUCCCUUGGCCUGGAAUGCCUUUUCUUUUCCUACUCCCUUUCUGCAUGUCAGAAUCCUGGAUCCCCU